rnacentral:rRNA from 1 species
AACCCCUAUCUUUAAUUGCCAUCAUUAAGUUGGGCACUUUAGAGAGACUGCCGGUGUUAAGCCGGAGGAAGGUGGGAUGACGUCAAGUCCUCAUGGCCUUUAUGUCUAGGGCUACACACGUGCUACAAUGGGUGGUACAAAGAGCAGCUAACUCGCGAGAGUAUGCAAAUCUCAAAAAGCCAUCCUCAGUUCGGAUUGGAGUCUGCAACUCGACUCCAUGAAGUUGGAAUCGCUAGUAAUCGCGGAUCAGCAUGCCGCGGUGAAUACGGUUCCCGGGCCUU